CACGGUGCCCUGGUGGGACGCAGCCGGGAGGGCCCUCUCCAGAGUGGGGCAGAUGCAAGUGUGGAGACCCCGCGCAUGACAGCAGGUGCUAUCCAUUCUUGCCAACCUGUGAAAACAGCCGACCUCACACGCCAGCACCACUCUCCCGGGCUUCUGCUCCCCAGUCAGCGAGCUCAGCAUGAAGCCUCUCCCACGCUCAGGCGAGUCUCGCGGCCACCAGGCGGUUUGCUUUCGAGAAAUGUUGCUGUCAAAGGUCGUUCCUCUCUCCCUUCCGCCAGGAGCCGGGGGUUUGGCCAGGCCUGGGUCUCGACCCUGGUUGUGUGGUCCUGGGUGACCUGAGCUUCCACCUUGAUCUGGAGCAGGGCACUGCUCCCCUCCUGACUCACCUGUGUGACAGGUGCAAGGCUCCCAUCAGAGAGUGGACGUGACGUGAGCACUGAGCCUCGCGGUUAAGAUGCCUGCGUCCCGUGCCGGAGCCCCUGGCUGUGACCCCUGACCCCAGCUCCUGACUCCAGCUUCCUGCUAACACAGACCCUGGGAAGCCACAAUGAUGGCUCAGGCAGUGAGGUUUCCGCCACCCAUGUGGGGGACCUGGAUUGUGUUUCUGGCUCCUGGCUUUGUCCCCAGCUGGGCUGCUGUGGGCCUGUGGGGAGCAGACCAGCAGAUGGAGGUCACCUCUUCCUAUUGGCCUCUCAAAGAAAGAAAGAAAGAUCAGAGAGUGGCUGUGAAGUCCCAUGACAGGCCUGCAGCAUGCCGUGGGGGCUGGGCAGGUCCUCCGGGUGACCUGCAGUGCGGCCAAGGGAAGGCAGACCCGAAGCUCUUCCCGGGGAAGUCCAGUAUUGGGCAAGCUCACGGAGGCGGAUCUGAGACACAGACCUGGGGGGAGCCUGCUCACUGCUCCCAGGAUUUCCCGGGAGCAGCCCCGCUCUCCCCCAGAGCAGCUGCCUGGGCUGCUGGAGCCAGACUGUGGAUGUGCAGAGAACAUUUGGACUCGGAUGGGAACGUGAGCGAGGCUGAGCCUGGGCUGACCAGAGGAGAAAACAGGGUAGAGUUACAGACAGAGAGACAGAGAGAAAGGUCUUCCUUCCGUUGGUUCACCCCCAAACCGCUACGGCUGGCACUGCGCCGAUUGAAGCCAGGAGCCAGGUGUUUCUUCCUGGUCUCUCAUGCGGGUGCAGGGCCCAAGCACUUGGGCCAUCCUCCACUGCCUUCCCCGGGCCACAGCAGAGAGCGGGACUGGAAGAGGAGCAGCCAGGACUAGAACCCAGAGCCCAUAUGGGAUGCCGGCUCCGCAGGUGGAGGAUUAACCAAGUGAGCCGCGGCGCCGGCCCCUGGAAGGACUCUUGAGCUUCCUGAAGCAGGUGAGCAGGCCCCCGACUCCCUGUCUCGGAGGGGGCACCAGGGGGGAUCUGAACACGUGCAUGGCCUUGCCGCGGCCCCGCUUCCUCUGCUCCCGCGUCUCUGCCAUUCUGCACUCCUGCACACGCAGCCUGUCUGACUUCUUCCCGUCUGCUUUUCCUUAUGAGGGCACCCCGGUCACAUCAACCCCCUGUUCGCCCGCGAAUCUGCCGUUUGCUACAGGGGCUCCAAGCAAGGACCUGAGAGGGGAGAAAGGCAAGGGGUCUCCCCUUCCCCGUGUUUCGUGACUGUGUGUUAAGCCGGGAAGCACCUCCCUGAGUGAGGGCUGCACACUGCAGAGUAGAUACUUCCGCAGGAAGCCCGGGCACGUGACCGUGUGCCUCCACCACCUCCCCAGCGCUCACGGCUGGAGCGCGUGCCCUGCAGGUUCGCGUGCUACGUGUGUGUGUGUGUGUGUGUGUUUCCUCGUGGUGGCACGCAGGCAGCUGGAGCUUUCGAGAAGAGAUCAAUGCGUUUCUUUCGCAAGUGAAUGCCCGAUCUCAGAGACCCGGAUGCAUUCCUGGGCCAGCCGUGCCAGCCUCCCGUUUUCUGCCAUGAACUGCAGCAGCACCUCUGUGCUGGGCUUCCCAGCCUGCUGCGCUGCGAGCCAGGAGAAACCUCUCUGCUUGUCAGUGACCCAGUCUCGGGAAUUCUGCCACUGCCGCAGACCCGAGGUUCGCAACCAAGGCAGCAGCUGCAGGGUCUAGCCAGAGGCUAAUGGCUAACUUCGUAUCCCAUUGCAUUUACUCUUAAGUCACCAUUCUUUAGUGACAAACACUACUCACGGGGCCAGCACUGCAGUGCCAGCAUCCCAUA